rnacentral:rRNA from 1 species
AACGAACGCUGGCGGCAUGCCUAACACAUGCAAGUCGAACGAGACCUUCGGGUCUAGUGGCGCACGGGUGCGUAACGCGUGGGAACCUGCCCUUAGGUUCGGAAUAACUCCCCGAAAGGGGUGCUAAUACCGGAUAAUGUCUUCGGACCAAAGAUUUAUCGCCUUUGGAUGGGCCCGCGUUGGAUUAGCUAGUUGGUAGGGUAAAAGCCUACCAAGGCGACGAUCCAUAGCUGGUCUGAGAGGAUGAUCGGCCACACUGGGACUGUGACACGGCCCAGACUCCUACGGGAGGCAGCAGUGGGGAAUAUUGGACAAUGGGCGAAAGCCUGAUCCAGCAAUGCCGCGUGAGUGAUGAAGGCCUUAGGGUUGUAAAGCUCUUUUACCCGGGAUGAUAAUGACAGUACCGGGAGAAUAAGCUCCGGCUAACUCCGUG